rnacentral:rRNA from 1 species
UGCAGUCCUAAACCCCAGCAAGUCGAGCGGAUGAAGGGAGCUUGCUCCUGGAUUCAGCGGCGGACGGGUGAGUAAUGCCUAGGAAUCUGCCUGGUAGUGGGGGAUAACGUCCGGAAACGGGCGCUAAUACCGCAUACGUCCUGAGGGAGAAAGUGGGGGAUCUUCGGACCUCACGCUAUCAGAUGAGCCUAGGUCGGAUUAGCUAGUUGGUGGGGUAAAGGCCUACCAAGGCGACGAUCCGUAACUGGUCUGAGAGGAUGAUCAGUCACACUGGAACUGAGACACGGUCCAGACUCCUACGGGAGGCAGCAGUGGGGAAUAUUGGACAAUGGGCGAAAGCCUGAUCCAGCCAUGCCGCGUGUGUGAAGAAGGUCUUC